AUAAAGAAAAACACAAAAUCACGCCAGGUAGAUGGUGAAGAGCUGAUGCUCAAGUACUUUUUUCUGAAAAAGACUAGACUUUCUUUUUUUUUAACUAAUGUUGAAUAUUUUAGAUAUCUGUAUGUUGGUGAUAAUUUUAUUUUAGAUAUUUUUAUUCCAAACAACUGCAGCUUUUUCAUAGCUGUGGUACCUACAGUACUUUCAAAUGUCUACUACUGCAAUUAAAAUCCCAAUUCAUAGUUGCAGAUGGACCCCAUUGUAACUGCUCCAACCACGAUCACUUUGAGACAGGUGAUAGAGUUACAAGGGUAUUAAUAAGAUAGGAUCCACGUCAAAUGGCACAAAUCAAAUAUAUCUGCUUACACUCUCAGUAUACGAUAGAACAGCCACUUGCAGAUAUCAGAAAAUCAUCUAUCUAUGAGGUGCAUACAUGUAUGUAGGUGCCAUUACAGCUAAUAUCCUCUGGUCUGAGGCUCAUUGGGUCCUUUUUUUUAUGCAGAGUGACCCUUUUUGAGCGGAUACAUUCCUUGAUGACCACGUCUGAAGACGUAAUGCCUAAAAUAUAGAUCACUUUCUAAAUAUGUGUAUAUUCAAAACUAUGACUGGAAGCCAUUGUCAUACAUCUCUUAAUGCUAGCCCAAAAUUAUUUGUGCCCAUGCUGUCAGUUGAUUAUACCAAAUAUUAUCAUUUUACAUGUGUUUCGCUGAGCUAAAUCUGUUCUAGUUUUUCCAAUGUGAGAAUUUUAGUUUUUUCUCUAGACUUCUACAUAGGUUUAUAAAAACUAUUGUAGCUGUUUCCCUAAUAACUAAGGUUCUGACGUUUUAUAGCCCAGCUGAUUAUUCCCUUGAAAUAAUCAACUGAAAACUGAUAGAGAAAAUAAAUAGCCACAGCCCUUAUUUAGGAAAUGUCCAAUCCUGCAAAAUAGAUGUUGAUCAUCCUCUAAGAAUUUCCUAAUCAAGAUAAGCAGAUUGGUUUAUAAAUUCCUAUCUCAAAUCACUGCAUACAAAUCAGCAUUGGUUCCCUGACAUUAGUAAUUAGGUGUGUUCAUUAAAGGCGUCAAAUAAAUGUUCAGCAAACUACAUAACAAAAAACUGUCCGACAGUUGUAAGCUAGAAAUAAAUCAACAACAUUCAAAGUUCAAGGUUUAUUUCAAGCAUAAUUCCAGCUUCUCCAACGUUAAUGUUAAAUGGUUUGUGUUUAUAUAGCGAUUUUCUAGUCUUGAUGACCACUCAAAGCUCUUUACAGUACAGUUUUUUACAUUCAUCCCUUCACACACACAUCAUACAGUACAUAUAUUAACAGCACUUUGUUAUUCUAUGAGGAGCAAUUCAGGGUUCAGCCUCUUGCCCAAGGACACUUCGGCAUGCAGAUGGGGAAGACUGGGGAUCGAACUGCCGACCGUCAGGUUGGAGGACGACCGCUCUGCCCCUCAGCCACAGCCGAAUAAGGUUGCAGGUCUUACCGGGAAUGAUGGCCGGUGACGGUGUCCUUGAUGCGGUGGUUGGAGGAGACGGAAUCUUGCGAAGAGUCACGGCUGUUGUACGAGGUGCACAGUUCCGGGGAUGAAUGAAAGACAGACAGACCGCUACUGUCAAUAAUCCACGGGAGAUCCAACGCGAACCACAAGCCCCGCCCCUCCUGGUUCCUGCAUUAAGGCUUUUUUCAUACUGACGUCACUGGAAGGGCUCAGCAUCCCCCCCUGAUCUUAAUACAUGCCUUUGGAAAAUCGUGAUCAAGCAGCGUAUCAGCUUUGGUGGAGGUACCUUUAGCUCGCAAUUGUAAGUUUUGAAGCUAUUCAACAGCCUUGGUUUGUACUUGAGAUCUUUCUGUGGAACGUUGUGAAUGUUUAUUUAUUACUCUUAAUUGAAUCUCAGAUUUUUAUGGGGAGGAUCUGGUAUAAGUUGCUUGUCUUCCUUCUAUCACUGCAAGAGUCCAUUGAGCAUUAUUGUCUCUUACUAUGAUUAAUUUACAAGACUUUUUAAUGGGUUGUAGUUUCUGGGCUGAUUAAGGCCUGUAUUGUUGUAUGUGUUUUAAAUGGUGAGAGUCGUUCAUUAUAAGCAUCAUUGUCAGAACAUGAAUAAAGUGAAAUGUAAAUUAUGAUUAGAUAACUAAAAUAGAAACAGUUGAUGUGGGGCUUUAAUUUCUUUCUCAGCACUAAACCUUGCUUUCCAUUGGUUAGUGGAAUUUUGACAGUGCAGAUGAAACAAUCCAGGAGCAGAGGAGUAAUCCUAGAGCAGACAUUUUACACGCACACAGUAGCAGCAGGAGUGCAAAGAGAAGAACUGAAGCUGGACCACAGGCAAUCUGAGUCCGAUUGCACACUUUGAGCACAAACAUAUAUGACAACAGCAAGAAUCACAACCUAAUACAUGUCAGGGCUGCUGACAGGAUGCUUAAUGAAAGCAUCAACUAGUGCAUCACAAUGAGCAAAAUGCUGUCUCCAAGGCCACAACCCGCAUCAUUAGCUCCCCCUUGCGGGGGACAGGUCAUAUUACCCCCUGUGCCUGCUCCUUUUGUCCCUUGAGUUCUCUAAAGUGAUAUCAAAUUUCUUUUCAUCCCUGUGUUCGCAGGCUCCACAAAAUGCGAAUCGUGGUGCGAAUGGAUCGAUGGACCCAUAGCCACUCCAAAAAAGCAUGACUGAUUGCUGUCCUUGCUCCAAAAUGGUGGAACCAGCCAGUGGCGUAGUGCAAAAUCCCGGAAAUGGCCACGUCUACAGGGUUUUGACCAAAUUUCAGCUUGAUGUGGUCAUCCCGCUCGGAAAAGUACAUAACAGUAUAAAACAUGUAAUUAAGGACUUGUUAUCUUGUGAUCUUGAUGUCAGUAGGGGGCACUAUGACUAUGAUUGUAUAUUUGCAUGUAGCUGUAUUCAGGUUUGGACUCAAAUAUGUGAUGUGCAGAUUGGAUUAAUGUACUAGUGGCAGUCUGUUCCAAAACUUUGGAUCCUAAUUUCAAAAUGCAACAUCUCAGAUUCCCAUUUAGCUGUCUAAUCAAUGUGCUGCAGAUGAUAAAGUUGUAAAACUUGAGUUUUUGUCAACAUGUUAAUGCAGGCCUUAAAAUUGUGUAAAGCAAUUAAAAAUAUAUGUUCUCUAAGUUUCAGGACAAUGGGUUAUCAACCACCAACGCAAAUUUGUGUUCUUGAAAAAAUUGCCAUGUAUAGAAAAAUCAUGAAAAAAGUAUUCUGCUGCUGUCCCACAACUCUCCCUAACUGGGCAUGGUUUCUGUAGCUACCGGGCCUUUUGCUGCUAUUAGGUGCUGUCAAAAAGCUAAAAUGCUACAGAACACAUCCAAGCUGAAGUUUCCCGGAGUACACAGUUUGCCCAUUACCUGAAGCAAAGCAGCUGUUGAACCAUUUUUGGACAUAUUUUAAAUUAAUUACACCAUAACAAUUAUCCUCAGUGUUGUGGUUAAUUGCAACGUUGUCCAUUCACAGCUUCCUUUCAUAACGAAAUAUGUGAACUCAUCACCUGCAUGCAGCAGCCUGUGUGAACAGCAGACAACUUAUACACAGCAGAACUGCGGCAAGGGAGAACCAAUGUUCUAGUUCUGAUACAUAGUUUUGGGAUGGGCUAUACUUAUGAUCACCAUGUCCAUUAAUAAAGUUUAUGAUGAUGUUCUGCAGGCAACUUUGAGACUUUCCUAGAACUCAGCAACCAAGGAAUGCAGUAAAAACCGUCAAACUUAACAUUUCAGUACUACAUUGAUCCUAUUCUUGGGGUUCAUGGUGGGGCAAUGCAACCUUAUAUAGUCACUGGUGAAAGUUAUUCUUGUUGGCAAAAGUAAUAUAGUUCUAAAGAUAACCACUUUACUGGUUUGUUAUUAGCUACAAUAUGGUUAUUCUUGAUUUGAUUUUGUGAUAGCCUUUAUUAGUCUCUAAAAUAUUAAAAUUGCAAGGUUGACUUAUUGUCCAUUUGACUUAAAUGAACUUCUUCCAUUGUGCUUUUGUAUGUUGUAAAACUUCAUGGUGACCACCUUGGGUUCUCUUGGCUCGGAGCACACAGACCCAGAGCUUCAAUCACAGAUGUUUAUUAUAAUGUAUCAACCUCAGCCUAUAGAUGCUGCACCACUGUGUGCUUUCUUGCCCUACUUCGCUCGAGUCUGGUUCUGUCCACUAAUAAAUGUAAAAGUGUGUCACCUGGCACUGCCCCUGAUGAGUCAGCUCUGCACCGUCUCUCUCUCUGCCCGGUCCUCACUCACCUCCGCAGAUGUGUUUUUCUCAUGAAUUGUAGCUGUAUGGGAGCUGUCCAGUGCUGAAAGAUGCUUUUUCAUUUCCUUGUGGUCACUUAGAGUUUGUGGAAUAUUCCUUUGCCAAAUUCAAUUAAAAAUUAGAUCAACUGUAA